rnacentral:rRNA from 1 species
UACGUAGGGUGCGAGCGUUGUUCGGAAUUACUGGGUGUAAAGGGUUCGUAGGCGGUGCGGCAAGUUGGGAGUGAAAUCUCUGGGCUUAACCCAGAGGCUGCUUCCAAAACUGCUGUGCUUGAGUGUGGGAGAGGCGCGUGGAAUUGCAGGUGUAGCGGUGAAAUGCGUAGAUAUCUGCAGGAACACCCGUGGCGAAAGCGGCGCGCUGGACCACUACUGACGCUGAGGAACGAAAGCUAGGGGAGCAAACAGG